UGUCAGGAUUAAUUUUAUAGUGAGAUUCCUGAAUCUGUCUGUCACUGUAGUGAGUGAUAGUCAGAAAGACAACAAGACUGUUACUGAAGUGACUCUGACAGCUUCAAUAGUGAUUCAAGUUAUUGCAGAUAAUAUACCAGUUUUUGAAGAAAGAAUUGGGAUAGCUGUUAUCACUGAAGAGGUCCAGGUUACACAGAAAAUAGACAUCAUUCUGGUACCUGUAAUAAGGACAACACCUACCAGUACACCAGCUUUGCUCUGCUUGGUGGAUGAUUGGCCAGAUAAUUGGGAAAUCGCGUGUGCUUCUGCUAUCAAUGAACUGCAACAUGGAACUGACUUUUGUGG